rnacentral:rRNA from 1 species
AGUUGGUGUGGUAAAAGCGCACCAAGGCGACGAUCAGUAGCUGGUCUGAGAGGAUGAUCAGCCACAUUGGGACUGAGACACGGCCCAAACUCCUACGGGAGGCAGCAGUGGGGAAUAUUGGACAAUGGGCGCAAGCCUGAUCCAGCCAUGCCGCGUGAGUGAUGAAGGCCCUAGGGUUGUAAAGCUCUUUUGUGCGGGAAGAUAAUGACGGUACCGCAAGAAUAAGCCCUGGCUAACUUCGUGCCAGCAGCCGCGGUAAUACGAAGGGGGCUAGCGUUGCUCGGAAUCACUGGGCGUAAAGGGUGCGUAGGCGGGUUUUUAAGUCAGAGGUGAAAUCCUGGAGCUCAACUCCAGAACUGCCUUUGAUACUGAAAGUCUUGAGUAUGGGAGAGGUGAGUGGAACUGCGAGUGUAGAGGUGAAAUUCGUAGAUAUUCUCAAGAACACCAGUGGUGAAGGUGGUCUCACUGGCCCAUUACUGACGCUGAGGCACGAAAGCGUGGGGAGCAAACAGGAUUAGAUACCCUGGUAGUCCACGCUGUAAACGAUGAAUGCCAGCCGUUAGUGGGUUUUCUCACUAGUGGCGCAGUUAACGCUUUAAGCAUUCCGCUUGGGGAGUACGGUCGCAAGAUUAAAACUCAAAGGAAUUGACGGGGGCCCGCACAAGCGGUGGAGCAUGUGGUUUAAUUGGACGCAACGCGCAGAACCUUACCAGCCCUUGACAUGUAUAUGACCGGUACCAGAAAUGGAACCUUCCCUUCGGGGCAUAGAGCACAGGUGCUGCAUGGCUGUAGUGAGCUCGUGUCGUGAGAUGUUGGGGUAAGUCCCGCAACGAAAAGG